rnacentral:rRNA from 1 species
UACGUAGGGUGCACGCGUUGUCCGGAAUUAUUGGGCGUAAAGAGCUCGUCGGCGGUCUGUCGCGUCUGCUGUGAAAACCUAGGGCUUAACCCUGGGCGUGCAGUGGGUACGGGCAGACUAGAGUGCGGUAGGGGAGACUGGAAUUCCUGGUGGAGCGGUGAAAUGCGCAGAUAUCAGGAGGAACACCGGUGGCGAAGGCGGGUCUCUGGGCCGUAACUGACGCUGAGGAGCGAAAGCCAGGGGAGCAAACGGG